CGAAAGCGCAGGAGAACUGCGCAUCAUUAUAUUAAGAAGGAAAAAAAGGAAGGCCUUAGAAGGCCAGACUUGAUUUUAUAUUUCCGAUAGAUGAAGUAGACUUUAUAAAUGUAUUACAUACUUAAAGUACAAACUCUGAGCACAUAACGAACAUCUGACAGAAUGGAACCAUCAUUAGCGUACCAAUGACCAGCUACAAUGCUGUAUUAAACGUUUCCUCUAUUUUGUAUAGUUUUGCAAUUUCAGCAGUGAGUAACAUAGCAUGAAUGAAUCUCUUCGUAAAUGGAAGUUUAAAUACACGAGUAAAACUUUUACUGUGGUUAUUAACUUAUUGUGUUCUCUAUUUUUCUUUUUUUAGAAGAAUACAGUAGGGAAAGGCCCUGGUAAAAAUACAACAGAAAUGUCUACAAAAGCCUAUUCAGCAAAGGAGACUAUUGCUAUGUGAGAACUUAAUUCUGUGUAGAAGCAGCUUUACAGUAUGUACAAGUUCUAUACUUUUCUUUUUUUUCUUGAAAGCGCAGGAGAACUGCGCGAUAAUAUAUUAAAGAAGAGGGACAGAAUUAAGACCCUAGGACAGAUACAAAAACAAACGCGAAAGGGCCUCCAGCCGAAUUGGUUAGGUGGUCUGAGUAGCACUCCUCAUGUCCUGGGCUCGACUCCCCAUGGGAGCGAAUUUCAGGUUGUGGUUAAAAAAAAUCCUCUCGUCUGUCCCACGGCAAAGCACAGGACUAAGGCUCGGCCCGGUCGCGGUCGUUCUCACAUGGGCUUCGAUGCCGCUGUGUAUGGGUGGGGCAGGGGUUCGAGGGUUUUCUCGACCUGUGUGAGAAGGCCUUCUUCUUAAUACAAUACUCGGGUUGUCUUACCCCCCGCGGGUCGAGUUUUAGAUACAAGAACAAACUGGGGGGGGGGGGGGGGGGGGGGGGGGCUACAGCGGCCAAUAACAGGCAUACAGAAACCCAUCCAUGACUAAACAACUAACAAAAACUACCACAAUGCUAGCUAACUAGCAGGGAGGACCAGAAUGGGGGCGGUGAGCAAAGACAACUUCUUUGCACCAACCAUCUCCCGAUGGUCAACCUCCAACCCACCAACUCUUCUAAUAGCAUCAGCAAUAUUGGGGCUCUUAUUGUCAAAAACAAAGCCAUUGCGUGGCUUCCAUAAGGUCCAAACUCCCAGAAUGACUAGAGAAUUGAGGCCAUGCCUUGCGAUUCUAGAGACCUUAGUGCAUAACAUUCUCCACCAUUCAAGGAAGGCACUAUCCUCAGAUUGGGGGGCAAGAAGUUGAAGGUUCACUUGAAGUAGUUUGAACCAAAAUUCUCGAGCAAAAACACAUCCAAUGAUAUGGUCCAAGGUUUCUUGAUCCUGAUCACAUAAUGGACAUCUCUCUGGAUGGUGCAUGCCUCUUUCAUGCAGCCUAUCUGUUGUCCAAACCUUCCUGUGUGCGACCAACCACAUAAAAAACUUGGUUUUUGGAGGAGCCCAAGUUUUCCAUAUUCUAUGAAAAGGCUCAAACUCAGAAGAUCCAAUAAAGAAACCCCUAUAUGCUUCCUUUGAGAAGAACUUUCCGUUUGCAGCUAGGCGAAAAAAAUGCUUGUCUUCAACUUGAGGUCUUAGAACAAUUGGGUCGAUUAAAUCCCACAAGAUGAGAAACUCAUUGAUAAUUCCAACAGAAAGAGCUCCAUGAAUGUCAGAAAUCCAGCUGAUUAGAGAUAGCAUCCACCACUGUUCUCUUGUUAACCCUUCUCUUAGGAAUGAUCCCAAAUAAUCGAGGGGCUAAGUCUGCAAUUCUGUGACCCAAUAGCCACCUAUCAGUCCAGAAAAAAGUUGUAGCCCCAUUACCAAGCUCAGUUUGCAUAGCCAUUGAGAAGAAAUAUAUCACCUUUUUAGGGACUUGCAAAGCAAGAGAGGCCCAUGGCAAGUUGGCUCAGUUUUAGCCAGCCAUAGCCAUCGCAUUCUUUUUUUUUUCGUGAACGCGCAGGAGAGUUGUGCAUCAUUAAAUUAAGAGAAGAAAACAGUCCAAAAUGGACCAAAGUACAAUGCCAAAAUAGGCAAAACACAAAACCACCAACUCCUGUUGCGCACAGAACUGCAGCCUCCUUAUGCGCAUGAAAACUGCACACAAAAGGAAACCAAACAGCAAAAAGUGCCAGCAGACCACACACACCUCCUCUUCACUAAUCACCCAAAAGAACCCUUGACCUAAAAAUUACAGCACCAGGACCCAAAGCCUCAAGAUGUCUAGCACCGGCAAGCCUCCAGCACUCAACUUCAUCCAAAAAAAACUGUCUUUAUUCCAUUAAUUGAAGGUCUGACACCAUCAAAAACCGCCUUAUUACGAUGAAGCCAUAAACACCAAGCCCCCAAGAUGAUGAUACUGUUAAACCCCAGCAAGUUCUUUUAUGCUGGAAAUGCCCAGACCACCCUGUUAGAAUUCUUGUAUUAGGCCUUUGGUGUGAGUGGGGCCGGGCUGUCAUAUGCUUAUGCACAGACCCGGCCUAGGGAUGCUGCGCCAUCCCCCUCUAUAGGAGGUUUUCCCUGUGCUGCUAGCCUGCCUUCUAGAGUGGCUGCCCUUCCUUCUAGGCGGUUUCCUUAUGGAGCCUUUCCUCCUAGAAGGUUUCCCUCUGGGGCCUUCCCUUACCAGCCAUAGGGUUUCCUCCUCUUGUAAGCCUAUAUAUAUUGGCCUUCCAAGGCCUGUCAAUUUAUGAAACAUUUAGUGACACACACUAUCCAUUGAUUUUUUUCUCGAUUCCGCUCCUAUCUAGGGUUGUCGCCGCCCUCUUUCCUCUAUAAGGGUCGUAGCCACCCUCCUUCCCUGGGUCGCUAGUUCUACUUCCCCAUCUCACCCAUGGCCGACGACGCUGUUGUGAUCCAGCAGCUGAUCGCGGAGAAGAUGGUCCCCCUGCAGACCGCUGAGAAGGAUGUGGUCGCUGCUCGUGCUUGGGUCCGGGCCAUCGCCCUUCUCCUGGAAAAAGAGCAGGCCGCCUCUGCAGCCCUGGACGCCAAGGCAGCUGCCGUGGCCAGGCUGCUCGCACCGUCGUCUUCCACCUCGCCGCCGACGAGGCAGCCAUCAUCAUCAACCUACACAUGCAGGCCUGCGGGCUUCAAAACAUCCGCUCGCUAGUAACUACGACUCUAGACCCCUCGUCAACAGGUUAUGCUCGCUAGCGAGAUCAGGUGCUACUCACCCUCAAGCGCUACACCCUCAACGAUCACGUCCUCUCCAACAACGCUACCUCCACGAAUCUGGCCUGGGCGCGGAUGGACAGUGUUGUCGUCUCCUGGAUCUUCGGGACCAUCAGCACCGAACUGCAGGACCUCGCUCGGGAGGAGUGGGGUGUCACUGCUCGGCAGGCCUGGCUGACCCUUGAACAUCAGUUCAUCGAAAGCGAGACACACGCUCCACCUCGACGCCAUGUUCGCAACUUCGUCCAAGGCGAUCUCUCGAUGAACGACUACUGCCGCAAGAUAAAGGCUAUGGCGGACUCCCUCCGCGAUCUCGGCUGCAAGGUCUCCGACCGCAACCUCAUCCUCAACGUUCUGCGAGGUUUGAACAAGCGGUACGAACACCUUCGCGCCAUCAUCACACGAAGCAUCCCCUUCCCGACUUUCCACAAAGUCCGGGACGACCUUGUUCUGGAGGAACUACAACUAGGACCUGAUUCGCCGUCGGCACCACAUCAGGCCUUCUACUCCAACAACCAGUCCUAGCCCCCACACCCCUCUGCCUCGUCGAGGCCCCGUGGUCAGGGACAGGGACACGGCCAUGGGCGUGGCCGUGAGAAAGGCGGCAAGGGGUCUAGUGGGCACUAUCAGGGGCACGACCACCGUGCUCCUGGAUCGACAAGGAACCAGGGCCAUGGCAGUACCUCUACUAUUGGUGCUCAGUCCUCAUGGCCCUCGUUUUACAAUCCCUGGACUGGGACAAUAUCAAUGUAUCCCGGUCCGACUCCGUGGCAACCACAACAGCAACAUCGUGCCCCGCAGCAGCAAGCCUUCAUCGUCGACCCUAGACAGCAGGCCUUCGUCGCUGCCCUGGAUCGCCCAUGGGGGUGCCUCAGCUCCCACCCUCGCUGGCCCCUAUCCCUGCUCCAGCGCAGACCUUUGGAGCCCAACAACAGCAGCCAGCUGCCUCAUUUCCAUGGACUCUGUGGCAGGGAGCCUAGGAUCAGCAGUCCCUGGCCCAAUCCUUCAACACGAUGACCCUUCAGCAGCCUCUGUCGAUCACUGAAUGGGUCGCUGACUCCGGCGCCUCGAAUCACACAACGCCAUAUCUCGGUAACAUCUCGCAUUUUCGAAUUCCAACUUCUUCUAUCCCUUCAUCUAUCAUUAUUGGAAAUGGGUCCAGUCUGUCGGUCACCUCAGUAGGCGACGUGGUUCUUCCCGGCCCAUUUUAUCUUCAUAAUGUUCUUGUUACUCCUAAUAUCACUAAGAAUUUGUUAUUUGUUCGUUAGUUUACCACUGACAAUAAUUGUUCCAUGGAGUUUGACCCGUUUGGCCUCUCUGUUAAGGAUCUCAUUUCCAUAAAAGAGAUCAUCAGGUGCAAUAGCUCUGGGCCGCUCUACACCAUCAGUCUCCAUGUUGUUCGUGCUCCUCCGCCACUACACACUACGCUCUUGCUACUGUUACUGCUCUUGUGUCUCUUUGGCACCGGCGUCUUGGUCACCCUAGCCCUGAUGUUUUAUCCAAGCUAUAUAGCAUUUUUGUUGUUCGUUGUAAUAAGCCUACCAAUAGUCAUGUUUAUCAUGCAUGUCAAUUAGGCAAAAACACUAGGCUUCCCUUUACUCAGUCAUCCUCUCGUGCUACUUAGUGUUUCGAUUUAGUUCAUUGUGAUUUGUGGACAUCUCCUGUGGCUAGCAUUUCGGGAUUCAAAUACUAUCUUCUCAUUCUUGAUGAUUUUUCGCACUACUCUUGGACCUUUCCGUUGCGCUUAAAGUCUGACACCUUCUCCACUAUCACUCAUUUUUCUCUUAUGUUCUUACACAGUUUGGGUGCACGGUUAAGAGUGUUCAGUGCGACAAUGGUCGAGAAUUCGACAACUCCUCCACUUGCACGUUCUUUUUCAACCAUGGUGUCUACCUUCGCAUGUCUUGUCCUUACACCUCACCACAGAACGGUAAAGUAGAACGUAUGUUGCGCACCACAAACAACAGUAUUCACACUUUGUCGUUUCAAGCCUCCAUGGCUCCUCGGUACUGGGUCAAGGCCCUUCAUACUGCUACUUACUUACUGAACUGCCUUCCCACUAAAAUCGUUCGUGCUUCAUGCCCUUUUGUUGCCCUUCACAACAAAACACCAAAUUAUGACCAACUUCGUGUUUCGGGUGUGCAUUCUAUCCAAACCUCUCUGCUACUGCCCCACAUAAACUUGCUCCCCGUUCUGCUCGAUGUGUGUUUAUAGGAUACUCCCAUAAACACAAGGGAUAUCGUUGCCUUCAUCUUUCCACAAAUCGCGUCGUGAUCUCCCAACACGUCAUUUUUUAUGAGGACUAUUUCCCCUUUGCAGCCUCUCCCCCUCUAACUAAUGACUUUGAUUUUUUAUUUGAGAUGGAACCGGUGCUUUCACCCAUGGUAUACGUCUCCUUGCAAGUAUUCUCGUGUGCCCGCUACAGCAAUGGCCACACCGCCCCCAUGUGUCCAUUGUUGUUGACACUGAGGUGCCUCUCCCGGUUGUCUCAGCAUCUGCCCCGACACCCUCCACGGCGCUGCCACCUUAUUCUGUGGCACCAGCUGUCGCCCCUGCAGUGCCUCUGGCACCUUCAGGGGCGCAACCCUGUACGCGGUUUGCUCAACCGAGUCAGGGCCUCGCCCUGCGGACACUUCAUUAGAUGCCCCGACGCCAAUCCGGGUGUAUCAACGGCGCUCUACGACCACUACAUCAGCUACCUCUCCGUCCCAGAUACCUGCUGUACCGGGCACUUCCGAGCUCUCUCCUGCACCACCAGAGCUCCCACACGGUGCCUGCUCGGUGCCUCGGGUUCUCCCUGCAGGUGUUGUUCCGAUUGCCCCGGUGGUCCAUCCUCACUUGAUGUUCACUCGAGGCACUGAUGGUUUUCGCCAGCCGGCUCAGUACCUCGCCACUACGAUUUCGUCGAUUCCAACUUCAGUCUGUACUGCCCUUGCUGACCCACAUUGGAGGGUGGCAAUGGAGGAAGAAUACUCUUCUUUGAAGGCCAACGGCACGUGGGACUUGGUUCCUCGUCCCCCUAGUGCUAAUAUUGUCACUGGAAAUGUAUUUUCACGCACAAAUUUCAUACAGAUGGCUAUUAGUCGGUAUAAGGCCCGUUGGGUUCUACGUGGCUCCACCCAGCGGUCAGGCAUUGAUUACGAUGAGACUUUCAGUCCAGUAAUUAAACAUGCUACAGUACGCACGGUACUCUCUGUGGCCCUUGCCUAGAAUUGGCCUCUUCGUCAGCUGGAUGUCAAGAAUGCAUUUCUUCAUGGUACAUUGACAGAGACCGUCUACUGCUCGCAGCCUACUGGGUUCUUUAAUCCUACUCAGCCAAACUUGGUAUGUCGCCUCAACAAGUCUCUCUAUGGCCUCAAGCAGGCACCCCAUGCCUGGUACAGUCGGUUUGCUACUUAUUUGCUCUCAAUGGGUUUUCUGGAGGCCAAGUCAGAUACCUCCCUCUUUAUAUAUCGUUGUGGUGCUGAGACAACUUAUAUGCUCCUUUAUGUUGAUGACAUUGUUCUACUGCUUCUAGUUCUGAGUUAAUAUUGUGUACCAUCUCUGCUUUACAACGGGAAUUUGCUAUGAAGGAUCCAGGUCAGCUUCAUCAUUUCUUGGCCAUCACUGUUCAGAGGAACUCCACUGGACUUCUCUUGCAUUAACGUCAGUAUACAUAGGAGAUCAUUAGUCGGGCGGGCUUGGCAGGUUGCAAACCCUGCAACACUCCGAUCGACACACCUGCCAAGAUUUCUGGUACCUCUGGUACACCACUCAGUAACCCUACUCGUUACAGAAGUUUGGCUGGAGCAUUGCAGUACAUUACAUUCACUCGCCCUGACAUCACAUAUGCACUCCAGCAAGUGUGCCUUCAUAUGCAUGACCCUCGGGAGCCCCACAUGAAUGCUCUCAAACGUAUUCUUCGUUACCUCCAGGGUACUCCGGAUUUUGGCCUUCUUCAACGGUCCACUACUGUUGGACUGGUGGUGUAUACUGAUGCUGAUUGGGCAGGUUGUCCUGACACCCGUCGGUCCACUUCUGGUAAUGUCGUCUUUCUUGGUGACCUCAUAUCUUGGUCAUCCAAGCGUCAGAACACAGUCUCCCGCUCCAGUGCUGAGGCAGAGUAUCGUGCUAUUGCAAAUGGUGUUGCAGAGGCUUCUUGGUUGCGCUAGCUGCUCCUAGAACUGCAUUCACCAUUGACCCACAGUUGCCUAGUUUAUUGUGAUAACGUCAGUGCCGUCUACAUGUCAUCCAAUCCAGUUCAGCAUCAGCGUACAAAGCACAUUGAGAUUGACCUGCACUUGUUCGAUACAAGGUGGUCAUUGGUGAUGUCAGUGUUCUUCAUGUUCCAACGACAUCACAAUUCGCUGAUAUUUUCACUAAAGGCCUUCCUACUUCGGUUUUCUCUGAUUUUCGGUCUAGUCUCGACGUCUGCCGCAGCUAGAGUUGGAACUGCAGGGGGCGUUAGAAUUCUUGUAUUAGGCCUUUGGUGUGAGUGGGGUCGGACUGUCAUAUGCUUAUGCACAGACCCGGCCCAGGGAUGUUGCGCCAUCCCCCUCUAUAGGAGGUUUUCCCUGUGCUGCUACCCUGCCUUCUAGAGUGGAUGCCCUUCCUUCUAGGCGGUUUCCUUAUGGAGCCUUUCCUCCUAGAAGGCUUCCCUCUUGGCCUUUCCUUCCCAGCCAUAGGGUUUCCUCCUCUUGUACGCCUAUAUAUAUUGGCCUUCCAAGGCCUGUCAAUAUAUGAAACAUUUGGCGACACACGCUAUCCAACACACCCAACUCACGAGGCCUACAAACAAUUCCCCAAGCCACAUGAUAGUGACCACCUUUUGCAUCUCUACGGCCUCUCCACAGAAAACCUCGACGAAUCUUAUCAAUGGCUUUAAGGGCCCAAGCUGGAAGAUCGACAACCAUAGCCAAGUAGAUGACCAUCCCUAUGAGAACAUCCUGGACUUGCACUUUUCGACCAACUUUAGUCAAUAACUCAGCCUUCCAUCUAGAGAGUUGAUUUGCAAUUUUAUCAAUAAUGGGUUGAACUUGGAUUUUUGAAAUCUUUUUAAUGGCAAGCGGUAAACCCAGAUAACGACAAGGGAAUUCCGCUAACUCACAAGGCAACAUAUUCUGCAGCACAGCAAGGUCUUGAAAAAUUCAUCCUCUAAUUUUUGGGAGCCAAGUCCUCUAGGGACUAUAAAUAUAGGGGCAAUGUAACCGUUCUAAGGUAAGCAAGACAAUUAUCUUGUUUGGCCUCAAGGGCCAUCUCCCAUGUCUCUUUCUCGCUAGCCUGCUCCUUGUGUCUAACCACAGCUCUUGUGCACCGUCGGGGGUGCACACCCCCCACCAUCGAUCUCCUAUCCAUACAACUUACGCAGCCACGGUAGCAUUUCAAAUCCUAUCAAUCUGGUAUCUAGAUGCCGAGUGACGAUGACUCAGAGAAGCAGUUGUCCAUCCCACCAGCAGCCACGGUAGAAAGUGACGCCACCGCGAAGGCCUUGGCGGACAUCGCCAUUAGCUGCCAAUCUCUCCACCUGCAUGUCAUCAUUAGAGCACCAGCAGGUGUCCUCCUCCGUGGGUGCCAUGCACCAAGAUUUUUCCUAUGGGAUGCCAGGGUACGGGGUAAUGACGUUCCCAUCCUUCUCCACUGCUACCACUAUACCACCCUCCACAACUCACCCCCCCCUGCCCACCACCAUCAUGCACACCGCAACAGACACAGUUGUCCCAUUUGUCCCUUGCCCGUCCACCAAAUCAACUUUCCCUCCUCGCCAUCCCCGCUACCAACGUUUCCGCGAGGGCCACUUUCUCAUUUGCACAGACGUCCUCCAGUGUAGACGUUGCCCGCGCGCCCACCGGUUUGAGUGUUCUCCGCUUCAGCAAGCACGACUUCUCCACCUAUGACGGCAGGAACCCCUUAACUGGCUCAACCAUUGUGAUCAGCUCUUCCAUGGGCAGCGUACACUCGUCUUAGAUUGAGUUUGGCUCGCUUCCUACCACCUCGCGGGCACGGCCUAGACAUCAUGGUACUGUAGCACAUGUAUCCAAUUUAGGAAGGAGUUGAAAUAGAGAUCACUUAGAAGCUAAGAUUGAGUUGGUUUUAGGCUAUCUCCAGCAACUUACCCAUCCUCAUUACCCAUUUCAAACUCUACUAUGUAAACAGUGCAGUCUACAGUGCAAAACAGUGUUUUGGGUGACCAUAUGGGUGAACUGCUGAAGACAGUCUUAGGAAAUAGGAUUGGUUUGUUAUGAAAAGAGAGUAUAAACCUAUAAGGAUUCCUUCUCUAGUUUGCUUCGAAGCCAAGUCCUCUAAGGGCUAUAAAUAUAGGGGCAAUGUAACCAUUUUAAGGUAAGCAAGACAAUUAUCUUGCUUGGCCUUAAGAGCCAUCUCACACAUCUCUUUCUCGAACGCCUACUCCUUGUGUCUGACCACGGCUUGCCAGGGGUACAUGCCCUAGGCAUCAAUCUCCUAUCCAUACAACUUACACAGCCGUGGUAGGAUUCCAGAUUCUAUCAGAUGGCAACAGUCUACAUCAGAUUACUAGAAACUGCAAUUCAUAGUAAUAGUAUAGAUGACCUCUACUAGAUUCACAAUUGAAGUUCAUACAAAUUGUCACCAACUUUUCAGGCAUAGCUAAUCACUAGAUGCAAUAAUGAUUAGUGCCACAUUUACAUACCCUGGCAGUUGACUUGUGUAUUCUGCAGUAGGCAUCUGACUUCCAUGGCUAAAGCAAUGUAAAGGCCGAAAAAAUCGCAUGUCUCUGCUUCGCAAAACAUCCUUGCUUUGAUUUAUUGGGACAAGUCUUGUAUCCCAUACCAAAGUAUUAUUUGAUGUGCUAGAAGCAGAAAAAUAGGUGCCACAGUUGCUAAAUGAAACAGAUGUAACCUGUUGAGAAGCAAUAUAUUUCUUAUCAGUUCUCAGAGAAGAAAUAUAUUAGUAACUAAGAGCGCAAUAAUAAAUAUUUCAGUGUCAUAAAUACAGUACGCCCUUCAUUCUUACUCCAUUCAAAAUUACAAGACAUUUUGGCUUUUCUAGAUACAUAGCUUUUGCAAUACACUUAGAUACACUAUGUCUAAUACAUAAUAAAAAUAAUAUAUCUAGAAAGGUCAAAACGUCUUAUAAUUUAAAACGGAGGGAGUAGAUGAUAAUCUACAAUAGCAAUGAAAUAAUUUCCACAUUAUCAAUUCAAACUAUACAACUCUCAAUUCCAACUUCUAUGCAACAAUACCUCACAACUAGAUCCCACUGACAAGUGGCUAAUUGCAGAACAAGUACGGAUGUCAAAUAAGCCAAUAGUCCCAUCGCCAGAACCUGCAUAUUGGAAGUAAAGAUAAAAAUGCAGUUCAUCAUGGGCUCAUGGCUGCAAUAGAGGAGAUCCCAUGUGACAGAAAAAAUAAAGUACCAGUAAUGAGAGUGUUGCCAGCAGGGUUGACUUUAAGGGAAGUAAUGUACUGUGACAAAGAUAUGUUAGUCCUCCAUUAACCUCUAAAAGCAUGCAUUCAUAGAAACAAAAUGAGAAGGUACAUACAGAGUCACUUGCAGAGAAAGAUAAAUAAGACUCUGGAGAAUCAAUAUCCCAUAAUUGUACCACAGCUGAGCCACCAUAGUCACAAUCACUUCCACAUGCCAGAUGAUUCUCACUAUAGAACUCCAUUGUAUCAACUGAGGGAUAGAUCAUAUCCUGAGACCUAGAUUAACACAGAUUCACAGGGUUUAAGUAUGGUUUAACCGCUUAAGAAUAUUCAGAUUUUGCAGGCUUAAUUGACAAUAUAAAAUAGAUGUGAAAUUGUGAACCAUUAACACAAAUAAGCUUGCACCUAGAUCCUACAAAUCAACAGAUUGCAUGGUUCACACUUCACACAGGUUUAAACAUAGACCGAUACCACAAACAUAUAAAAAAUACAAUGGCAAAAAAAACUUUUUACUUUUCAUUUUCCCAUCAUCUCCCUCAGCAUAAAUUCUGGAUGGAAUAGUAAACAAUGGUAAAUGAAUCAUUAGGACAUCUAAAUCUGCCAAAUCUAUCUUUAGCAUAAUAAGCCAUUAUUAAAUUCCUUUCAAUUAUUUUUUAUCAGCUACACUACAUCACUUCAACAAGAAAAUCAAUAUCACAAAGAUGGUAUUUCCAUUUCCACUUUUCCUCUCUGGAAACUGAGGCUACAUAAAGCAAUUUAGUCCGCAGCUUAAGAAACUUUCCAUGCAAAAUGCACACAUAUAGUUUCUACUUUCAAUAACUGUAUCAACAUAUUUUAUCUUUUUUCCUCAAAAACACAGGAGAGGUGUGUGUCUUCGUAUUAAAGAGAGAAUAAGAAAAAUGUCCCUCAUAAAGCAGCCACUCUAUCUCAAUUAGGGGAGAAGAGGGGUUAAGGGGAAAAAGAAACGGUAACAAUCAUCAACAUUCUCUUUAAUAAAAUGCACAGUAGGGGACUGUAUUUCCCCUAAAAAAACAAGCACCAAUGUUCAACGUUCAAAAUAAAGUAAAAAAACAUCAUGGAUCUCUAAACUUUUCCAGCAUCUCAUCUAGGUCCAUAAAUUCUAAAAGCAACCAUCUGGGUCCUGUUAACUUUUCAAAUCAUUCAUCUGAAGGGAGAAUAACUAAAUACUGUUGUAAGCAUUAACAAUUUAUAAUUCAACAAAUUUUAUAAAGAAAACGUUGAUAUUACAUUAUAACAUAAUAACUUAAGAUAUGAUACUUGUGAACUAAGGCAGAACAAGUACUUAUAAGGAGAAAAAAGAAAACAAAUUGCGAUGGACAAGGACAAAUUCACGUGUUACCUCAAGUUCGAAUUUAGAUCAGAAGCAAGUUCACCUCUUAAAGCAUUCCAUAGUAGAAGCUUCCCAUCACCUUUUGCUCCACUGGUGACAACAAGACCUGAAAAUGUACACCAUGUUGGUACCAAAAUUUAAAAAAAUGGAAUAAAAUAUAAAUAAUUACGAUUCAAAAGAGAAACAGAAGACAAAUGAGCAAAGCAGUAGAGCUAACACAAUCUAUAUUUAUAUCUAUAUCUAUCUACACCUAUAUCUAUAUCUAUGGAGGUGUUUGGCACUGCUCUGGUCCAGCUUCAACAUGAAGUUGUGGUGUAUAAUAUAAAUUUAAACGGUUUUAAAAAAAUAUUUUAAAUCUAAAUAAAAAACUAAAUGACUUAUCUAAAUGUCUUCUAAAAGUUUGCAACUUCAGCUUUAUUGUGUGGUGUGUGUGGGGUGUGAUGUUGUUUGGGGUUCCUUGCCCUUUUUUCUUCUUCUUAAUAUAAUGAUAAGUAGUGUUCGAGAAAAAAAAGGCUUUACGAUUUUCUGAAGCUCCUAAUGCCCUGCUUCAUCAACUUCACUAAGGUUGUCUUCGAUGGAUCAUGUAAAAUAAGGGACGCGACACUGUAGAUGACAUUGUUUACAGAGUGAAGUUUGAAAUUGGGGAUGGGAUAGGGGAGCUGCUGGAGACGGCCUAAAUUUUGUGAAGCUGAAGCAGUCCCAACUCCCAAACAGGGCCUAUAUAUCUAUCUAUAUCUAUAUAUCUUGAUCUUAUAUUUUCAAUCCACACUAGCAUUCUAUCUCACCAUGCAAGCUGUCCACAUCAGCAUCCACUAGCACAUGCAAUCAUGUCUUCAUUCAAAGCAAGUCACAUCAUCCACUAACAUGUACUAUGAUAUUUAUCUGCUGAUGUAAGUAAAUAUAACUAUAUAAGUAGUAUAAUUCCAUUUAAAAACAUCAGUGAUUCCCGUGACAACGCACGGGGUAUCCUUCUAGCUACACAGAGAGUUAUCCUCAUUAUCUGCUGUUAAUAUAUCCUUAUCUUCCAUAGAUGUUGCAGGCAUCACCCAACAAAAUCACUAUUCUAUUGAGACAUAAGACAUAGGGAGUCAAUCAGCAUAAAAACGGAAACCAACAUAAGGAGUAUGUUCUUUCCCAUGGAAAAGCUGCCAACUCAGCAUCAAUUGCCUAAGAAAACUACAAACAUAAAAAGGAGAAAGCUACCAACUAAACAAAUGUAAAUAAAAGAUACAAGAUGUAGGAGUUUGUGGGAUAAAGAGAUAAGGUUGAUGAAGAGCAUACAUACAGGAUUGCCAUUUAUUCACUGCCAUAGCAUUUAUUUUCUGAGUAUGCCCCACUGAAUUUUGAUCAUCGCCACCCAGCGUAUAGAGGCAAGACCCAGUAAUGCAGUCCCAUACCUAUUCUCCAGUACAGGAAGAGAAACAAUAAGCAGCUUAUUCCAACAUCAGUUGCAGUGAUUGGCAAUGAACAAAAUCUAGUUACCUUUAAUAAAUUAGAAGCACAAGACACUACACUUGCUCCUUUGACUGCAAAGGCGAUAGACUGGAUCUGAGAACAAUAAGUAGAACUAAGUAACAACGCUAGUCAACAUUGUAAAAGUAAGCGUCAGCAUGUCAAAAACUCUAUGACCAAAGAUAACGAAAUCCAAAAAUAAAAUAAUUCUAAUAUAAGUGAAAUUCAGAUUGGUUGGACGUUGGCACUUGCACAACAGAUACUCUUAUCUGGUUGUAUCACAUCCAGGAACUAGAUAUGCUUAUGAAACAGUCAGUUUCUCAUUGUAUAGGGCACGUUUAGAAGCAAUGUGACAAAAAAUUGAGAAUGAAGCACGAAACACGAAUAUUACAAGUGAAAGGUUCAAGCAUGUCAUAUAGUCGCAUGACCACCUUUAUCAUUAUUUUUCAGGGCUGCGGUCUUAACUCGUGUGCUUUUAUCCAGAUAUAGGAAAGGAUACUAACAGUCUAACACUACUUUUUUCUCGAAUACGCAGGAGAGCUGCAUAUCAGUUCAUUAAAAGGAGGACGAAAAGAAAGAAAUUACACACGCCCGGCCAAAGGCUAAGGCACACAGACACACACACUACCCACUAGGUUGGACUACAUAGAGCCGGUUAGGAAAAACCAGUAACAGCAGCCAGCAACCUGACGACUAUGAGGUAAAAAACCUACAUCAUCCACAUCCUGCGCCAACUGGAGCUGGAUGCCUUUAGCACCAGCCUUGCGCCAACACCAGGCCUCCUCUCCAGCAUUGGAGAGAGCAGUAGAGAGAUGGGGAGUUGCAC
rnacentral:lncRNA from 1 species